UACGGAGGAUGCGAGCGUUAUCCGGAUUUAUUGGGUUUAAAGGGUGCGCAGGCGGAGGUGCAAGUCAGCGGUCAAAUUGCGGGGCUCAACCCCGUACUGCCGUUGAAACUGCAUCCCUUGAGUGCGCGAGAAGUAUGCGGAAUGCGUGGUGUAGCGGUGAAAUGCAUAGAUAUCGCGCAGAACUCCGAUUGCGAAGGCAGCAUGCCGGCUCCACACUGACGCUGAGGCCACGAAAGCGUGGGUAGUCGAACAGGA
rnacentral:rRNA from 1 species